UACGUAGGGGGCAAGCGUUGUCCGGAAUCAUUGGGCGUAAAGCGCGCGUAGGCGGCCCGGUAAGUCCGCUGUAAAAGUCCAGGGCUCAACCCUGGAACGCCGGUGGAUACUGUCGGGCUAGAGUCCGGAAGAGGCGAGUGGAAUUCCUGGUGUAGCGGUGGAAUGCGCAGAUAUCAGGAGGAACACCGAUGGCGAAGGCAGCUCGCUGGGACGGUACUGACGCUGAGGCGCGAAAGCGUGGGGAGCGAACAGG
rnacentral:rRNA from 1 species